AUGACGGUUGCCCGUAAAAAUGCUAGAUUAAAGGAGUCCCAGCUGCAUUUGAAUACGCUAUGAAUAAUCAUCGUAUUAUAAUUUAAGUCCAGCCACAGACAAGCCGGGCCCCGGACCUCCUCCACUCCAGAUGCCCGCAGAUGACAAGGAUAAUUAAGCAGACCGACUUCAGGCUUCCUGUCCCCAGCACUUUGAUCGGAGGACGAGAUGCCAGCUCGCAGUGGGUUCGUGAGUCCCCGGGUGCUGAAACUGCUUGUUUUGUCCGACUCUGCAAGCUUGCUCCCUCCCACUGAAAUCUUGGAGCUGCGUUAUGGCGAGUUGCAGGAAUCCCACGGAGGAAGAGCUGGAGAAAAGGUGAACUCAAAACUUCUCUUGCCAAAUCCACUCCUUGCUUGGGAGUCACUGCCAGCUCUUUGCUUUGCACUAUUUUAGUAGCCUAGAACUGGUCUAAAGUGGCCGGUUUGUUUUGCCCACAUUCUCUUCCUGUCUUCGGACUGUCCUUAUAACUCCUGACACCACAGUGAGAUCUUUGAAAUCGUGAAUCCGACAGGUCACCGCCCUUAGGAUAAGUCACAAGCUCCAGAGAAGGUUAUAUAAGACUGAAGGAGACCUUGCUUCAUAAGGAACUGGACAGGGAAACUGGUGAUGGCCACCGUCCACUAAGAGCAGGAAGAUGGUGGCCGGUACAGGGAUGGCUGAGAUGAGGGAGAAAUGAGGGGCUGUAAAAUCUGGUAAGGAAGUAGAGUCAGCGGGAAAUGAAGAUUGGACAGACUUGGUCAUAGGGUUUAUCACAGCAGUAGAAAAUAACUAAUCCACAACUGAACCAGGUGACAUGAGGCCGAGAGCACUGUGAGUAAGGCGGUAAAAUUCACACUGUAGAAAGUGACCAUGUGAAGCUAGAAACGAGGUAGUACUGCUCUUGGGGACAUCAUGGAAAGAAAGCCGGGCGCUGGCACUGCUAAUUGCCGAAAACUUACUUAUUCUGUGCCACGUUUUGAUAUGGAUUUAUUUCUCAGUCCUACAGAAAAUCCUGUGAGGAGGAUAUCUUCAUUCCCAUGUGAAGAAAUGUUCCAGAAGGCUAGAAGCUGUUCUGUGGUUCCGUUAAGAUGCAAAGAGUUUUUAAACUUUUUUUUGUUUAUUUGUUUCCUGGCUUUUUGAGACAGGGUUUCCCCGUGUAGCCCUGGCUAUCCUGGAACUUGCUCUGUAGGCCAGGCUGGCCUCAAACUCAGAGAUUCUUCUGCUUCUGUCCCCUGGGAUUAAAGGCAUGAGCCACCAUGCCCUGCCGUGAUUCAGACAUUCUCAAAUAUUUGGAGUUAUUAAAGGAAAUCGGUCCAUGAGAACCUAUUUGUAUGUGUUUGGAGCUGUCUAUGCUGCACAGCUGUGUGCUUGCAAAUGCAGCUGCAUCCUUAGUGUUAAUUUAAGGCAAGUGUGAGACAGAGGGGACCCACGUGUCCUCAGGGCACGGUGGUGGGGGCGAGCACUGUUAUCCUUAGAUGAUGCUGGCCCUUAUGAUAUACUUUUGUUAGAAUAAAGGCUAGGCAUUGUGAAUUCUUUUUUAAAAAUUAAUUUUAAUAAUUUUAAUUAAUUUCAUGAAUGUGAGUACACCGUCGCUGUCUUCACGCACACCAGGAGAGGGCAUCAGAUCCCAUUACAGAUGGUUGUGAGCCACCAUGUGGUUGCUGGGAUUUGAACUCAGGAGACCUCUAGAAGAGCAGUCAGCGCUCUUAACCGCUGAGCCAUCUCUCCAGCCCUGCAUUGUGAAUUCUUUAGGUCUUUAUUGUAAGUAUCCUCUCAUUUUGGAAGGAGUGAAUGGUCAGGAGUAGGCAGGUCACUCUGGUCUUUGAGUGUCAGCAAACAGACUCUUUCCUUUCAUCUAACAGCCUGGAGUGGGCUAUAAGUCACCGGCAUUGACCACUCUGAAAACACCUCAGCUAUAGGAAAUCAUGCAGCCAACACCCCUGGUUCAGCUCUAGGAGGCUUUACCUGAGUCAGGGCUGCUGCAGACGACCCUUAGAGAAACCUGAAGCUUUUCUCACUGCAGACAGCAGUGGGAACGCUUCUCAGCAAGAGGCUAGGGACUGGUGUAAACACAAUCCCCUCAGCCGAAUACUGUGCUCCACAACCAGAGUGGACAGCUCUGGUUCCGAGUUAGCCCACGGCACAAGGCCAAGUAACAGGCUCCCUUUCUUUGACCGCUUAUGAGUUUUCUGAGUAGGGAAGGCUGUGCCUGUCACGUGAAGAGAAGCUGCAGUGGUAUCCUGGAACAGAAGGGGGCAAUGAUGAAAGACACGGAGACAGGGCAGAAGAGUCUGUCAGGACCACAGAAGGCAACGGGUGGUGCGUGAGAUAUUGCAAGUCUCCAACACUGGAAGACUGAAGACCUGCAGCUCCUUCUCAGUCAGGUUGGCUGUUGCUCUCCCAGUAGAUGCUCCAAUGAGCAGCUCACAUUUCACUGACUCUUUAGUGCUGGGUGUUGACAGUCAGAACCCCAGAGCCAUAAGCCUCCCAUCGGAGUAUCUAGAGCUUUAAGUCCUUGGCUUUUUGAGGCCAGGAGCUGAAAGCCUCUAGUUCUUCUGUUCGCUCCAACUCUCUGUUUCCAUCAUCCUAAUCCACAAAGCUUCAGUAGUCCAAGGCCCAGGCCUGUCUGAAGAGCUGCCUCAGGCCUACUGUGCUUUCCAACCAAGUCGAGCACAAGGACUUCCUGGCAACAGCCCUCGCUGGCGCCAUUUUGCUGAAAAGGAAGACAAAUACAUGUUGGUGAAGCAUUUUCUCCCAGGCCACUGGGAGACAGCAUCAGGGCCACUGUGGUCUGCCGGGCCCCUGCCCAUGACAGGGCAUUGGGCUGGACACCUUGCCUAGAUGUACCUCAUCCAGCAGGAGUUUGGUUGUUCCGAUGGCUUUACCUUCACACCCAGCAGCCCUGAGUUAUUUCACCAGCAACAUGAGUGCACAGGACAUUGGAAUACUGAUUUGAUCCCAAAGGGUAGUAUUGAUUUUCCCACCCUUUGCAACUGGAAGACACAUCUGACUGCACUGCCACAAUGCUCACACCCCUAACCCUACACACACACACACAUAUAUACACACACACAGGUGGAAGCAUUUCUUCCCGGUCGGUGCCUUGGUUCAUUAAUCUUCUGAUGUGGCAUUCGGACUUCAGAUGUGACCACAGACUUCUGGUAUUGGUGUCCUGCCAUGGAGGAGGCAGGAUGAACGAUUGUGUUUGCAUUGGGUCCUGGGGGAAGUGCCUGGGGGUAGAGGCUUUAGGAGAGUAGCUAUUGACUCCUGGCUGGAAACCUUGGAUAAUUCCAAUCUUCCCAGCGCCUUGCUGUCUGCCCCUAAACUCGAGGUCGUUUCUAGGACCUUCUGUUUGUUGCUGUUUUCGUUUUGUUUUAUGUGUACGGGACUUUUUACCUACAUGUAAGUCCAUGCACCAUGUGCAUGCAGUGCUGGAGGAAGCCAGAAGAGGGCGUCAGGUCCUCUGAACCUGAAAUGACAGAUGGCUGUGAGCUGUGAUGUGGGGCUGGGAAUCACACUUCUGGAAGAGUAACCAGCACUCUUAACUCUCGAGCCCUUUGUUGCUGUUUUGUUUGUUUGUUUUGUUUUGUUUUUCUGUUUGUUUCUGAGCUCGAGGUUGUCUUGCUUCAUAAUCCUGAUGGACCUGGUGCUCAGCAGAGAUACCUAGCCUUACUGUGACUCCUGAGAGCUGAGGUUAAAGCCAUUUUCACCCGGGGCUGGGUCCUUCUUGUCACGUCACAGGUGCCUGCCAUCGUCUCUUGGAUCUUUAAAGUUGUCUGCCUUCUGCUCUGCGUUUAGAAGCAGACAGCAUGGCUAGGUGGUACUUGGCUUUGCAAAGACCCAGGGUAAGACUUCUGCUGUGCUAAACAAAAUAGCAGCCCAGCUUUAGUUAGGUUGUUUUUUUUUUUUUUUUUUUUUUUUUUUUUUAAGAUGAGCAUGAAAAAGGAUAAGCACCCUGAUAAGAUGUUGACUUUGCUUUUCUAAUUAAGUCUAGGGGAGAAUCCUUGCUGAAAAGAAGCCAACAGAAUGUAUCUUCGGAAUUAAUUAUGGUAGCUGAAUCAGCUUUCGGUGAGCAAUCUCUCUCCCCUUGUGUUUCUCUGCCUCGGAUGAUUUUUAAUGAAUUAUUCAUUCUAUCAACAAACUCUCUGCUUUGAGACACCGUGCUAAAUGCUGAGUGCUUGGAAAAGAUAAUGAUGAUGGCCAACGUGAAGCACCAGGACCCGGGAUCAAUGCUCUCCGUGCGGAAACUGUGUGAAGAAGAUGCCUUCGUGCUAGGAGCAGGUUGAGCACGGUGAGGUCGAUGCUUACACAAAUGAUGCCUCUCACUCAGACUCCACAUACUCUGGAGCUGGCGCCAUGAUUUGCAAAUGUGGUGCUUGGUGAUAUACACGAAGGUGUCUUUUGGAAGUGAAACGCAUCUUGGCAACAUCCUGCAACGGAUAGCGAGACAGAAGCACACAAGCCUGCGUGCCACUUCAGCUUGAGUCCCGUAAACGCCUCACUCACAACUGAACUCUAGAGACCCUUUCUUUGAUGAUGACCCCUGACCCCUGCACGAGGUUCACAGUGGCCACUGUGGUUGCUCAGGACCCCCGCUUAACAAUGGCCAUCUGCCAUUAAAGAAAGAGGUAAAUGCUAGUGAGUCAUAGUGGCUGUGAAGUAGUUCUUGGAGUCCCUGAACUACCAUCUAGCCAGAGCUCUCUACCUCAGCACCUCGGCCAUUUUGAACCAGAUCCUUCCUUGUUGUUUAGCGGCACUCUUGACUUUGAGAAGCUAUACACCAGGAGCACUGCCUGUUUGCUAAACGCCCCUGGGGAGCACUCCCUCCACGCCUAAGUGAGAGGGCUUCCUCCUGGAAAUCCCCUGGUGAGGACUGUAGGAGCAGGCUAUAUCACCCGUUCCCUCUCACCCCUGUGCGAGCAUGGAUCAUUGGCCACUAUUAUUUCUGACAAGGUGUCUGCCUGCACCUCAGUUAAGGUUAAAGGAAACACGGCUGUGAAUUCUAUCAGAGCUGCCGCCAGCCCCACCCCCACCCUCAGGCAGAAGAUCAGGUUGAAGGGAUGGGAUGAGCUGUUCAGGUUGCUCAAAGUCACAGCAAGGUGGAUCCACCCUGUCACCCCUGACCAAAGACACAGAGUGUCCUCCUCAUGCAGAGGUCUCUCUCUAGCAGGUCAGUGGAGAGGCUGCGGUUACAGAGACCUCACUAGUGUUCCGUCCUGUCCCUUUAGCUACUGGAGACGUUGCUGGGUGUACUGGCUGCCUUUGUGUGUCAACCUGACACCAGCUGGAGCUAUCACAGACAGGAACCUCCCUUGAGGAAAUGCCUCCAUGAGAUCCAGCUGUGAGGCAUUUUCUCAAUUAGUGAGCAAGUGGGGAGGGCCCAUUGUGGGUGGUGCCAUCUCUGGGCUGGUGGCCUCGGGUUCUAUAAGAGAGCAAGCUGAGCAAGCCGGGGGAAGCAAGCCAGUAAGUAACAUCCCUCCAUGGCCUCUGCCUCAGCUCCUGCUUCCUGCCCUGCUUGAGUUCCAGUCCUGACUUCCUUUGGUGAUGAACAGCACUGUGGAAGUGUGAGCUGAAUAAACCCUUUCCUCCCCAA